CACAGGUUGGCAAUACUGGGUGGCGACCCGGCCGCCCGGGUGAGUAACGCGUAUGCAACCUGCCCUCAACCGGCGGAUAGCCCGUUGAAAAACGGAUUAAUACGCCAUAAAACAGGGGUCCCGCAUGGGAAAUAUUUUGUUAAAGAUUUAUUGGGUUGAGGAUGGGCAUGCGUAACAUUAGGCAGUUGGCGGGGUAACGGCCCACCAAACCGACGAUGUUUAGGGGUUCUGAGAGGAAGGUCCCCCACACCGGUACUGAGACACGGACCGGACUCCUACGGGAGGCAGCAGUGAGGAAUAUUGGUCAAUGGUCGAGAGACUGAACCAGCCAAGUCGCGUGAAGGAAGACUGCCCUAUGGGUUGUAAACUUCUUUUGCAGGGGAAUAAAGAUAUGUACGUGUACAUAGUUGCAUGUACCCUGCGAAUAAGCAUCGGCUAACUCCGUGCCAGCAGCCGCGGUAAUACGGAGGAUGCGAGCGUUAUCCGGAUUUAUUGGGUUUAAAGGGUGCGUAGGUGGGCUUUUAAGUCAGUGGUGAAAUCUUGGUCGCUUAACAAUAAAAUUGCCAUUGAAACUGGGAGCCUUGAGUAUGGAUGAAGUAGGCGGAAUGCGUGGUGUAGCGGUGAAAUGCUUAGAGAUCACGCAGAACUCCGAUUGCGAAGGCAGCUUACUAAGGCACAACUGACACUGAAGCACGAAAGCGUGGGUAUCAAACAGGAUUAGAUACCCUGGUAGUCCACGCAGUAAACUAUGAUUACUAGGAGUUUGCGAUAGACAGUAAGCUCUACAGCGAAAGCGUUAAGUAAUCCACCUGGGGAGUACGCCGGCAACGGUGAAACUCAAAGGAAUUGACGGGGGCCCGCACAAGCGGAGGAACAUGUGGUUUAAUUCGAUGAUACGCGAGGAACCUUACCCGGGAUUGAAAUGAAGUGGAAUAUCGGUGAAAGCCGAUAGUCAGCAAUGACCACUUUGUAGGUGCUGCAUGGUUGUCGUCAGCUCGUGCCGUGAGGUGUCGGCUUAAGUGCCAUAACGAGCGCAACCCCCAUCGUUAGUUGCCAGCGGGUAAAGCCGGGGACUCUAGCGAGACUGCCACCGUAAGGUGUGAGGAAGGCGGGGAUGACGUCAAAUCAGCACGGCCCUUACGUCCGGGGCGACACACGUGUUACAAUGGGAGGUACAAAGGGCGGCCACCUGGCGACAGGGCGCCAAUCCCGAAAACCUCUCUCAGUUCGGAUCGGAGUCUGCAACUCGACUCCGUGAAGCUGGAUUCGCUAGUAAUCGCGCAUCAGCCAUGGCGCGGUGAAUACGUUCCCGGGCCUUGUACACACCACCCGUCAAGCCAUGGGAGCCGGGGGGACCUGAAGUGCGUGACCGCAAGGGGCGCCCUAGGGUAAAACCGGUGACUGGGGCU
rnacentral:rRNA from 1 species